GUAGCCUACGUGUCACCUUUUUCAGCCCUUCUGAGUUUGCAGCUGGGAGUCCUGUCGUCAGAGAGACAUGUCCAGCUUCUACAGUCAUGGCAGUAAACUCAAGCCUGCUCACCAGCCAUGUCUGGCAGCGGUGCACAAGUGCUGGUGGAUGGAUGAACUGUUGACGUAACUACAAUUACAAAUGACCAGGGUAGCACUUUCCCCCUGCUUCCAGCCUUUAUGCUAAGCUAGGCUAACCCUGUCCAGACUCCAGCUCUGACUGAACACGCAGAGUGGCUCGAUCUUCUCUUCUCAUGGUGAGUGUUUGUAGUUUCUCUUCUCUGCCUAAUUAACCCUAACCCUAACCUAACCCACAUGGUGACUGUUUGUGCCUCCUCAUUAAAACUGAUAAGACAGCUGACUUCCAUAGUCAUGUGCAGCUUUAGAUAACCAACAGUGUCCAUGUAAUCAGCAGCAAGAAAGCAAUAGAAGAUGUCGUCCGGCCACCAAGAGCUCCAUUUUGGCACAUGCAUUGUGUCCAGAUGUGUGAACCUCUGUCCUGUAUGUCUUUAUGUUGAUUUCCAUGUCUCUCCCUCCUCCUUCCUCCUUCUUCCUCCUUCUCUUUCUUCUCCCUCCAUCUCUCCCUGAGCUCCUGUCUUCCUGCAGGCGGAGACAGAGACAAGGAGAGGUCGUCCACCACAGGAGAGGAUGAGGAGGAGUCGGGGCAGUCCAGCCAGUCUGCAGUAGAGGAUCGUGGGUAUCCGUCCUGCAGUGUGGAGCCUGGAAACGUGAACUUCCAGUAUGAGUCUCCUUUGAAGAGAUAGACAGAGCCUGGAGAAGAGGGAGAGAAGUUUUCACAACUUUUGAAUGUUUUGCAGCCAAAAUGUCAUUUUAUUUUGUGUAACAGUGACAACAGAUACAAAGUGCUUGCUUGUUUUUCCAGCCUCUUUCUCCCUUUUAAUCUGAACUAACCUGACAUCGCCAGACCAAAUCCCAAAUGCGUGUUAGUCUGGAACCUCUCAGUUCAUUUUUAAUUUCCAAGAGGCGUUAUCAACAGCCGUAAACCAAAAUGCAUCUGGACAUGAUUGGAUAAUCGUACAACCAGUCAGAGCAACGAGAUGUGACGUAGCAGAGAGUGACAGACAAAUGUAACAGACUACAGCGUGCAGAGAUGAGCUUUGAUGGUGGAGCUUCAACGUGUCUGUUACCAUCAGGAUUUUAAAAUAGUACCUCAACAGAAAGUUCGACAUAAUGAUGCAAAAGCUAUGUUUAUGCCUGCCGUAGUGUGCGAGCCAAAAAUGAUGUCAUCACGUAUUUUGUGUAAAGCUCCACAGGUUGACAGUCAUCAUAUCAAAUACGCCCCACAUGAGAUAAACUGUUGUGAUUGGCCCGACCCGGGUUAGGCCCGCCGGAACUCUGUGGAAGGGGAGGAGGACCAGACAGAUCUGCCAGAGAAAAUAAAACAUGAGCUGCAGAUUCGUCUGGUUCCAGGGUUACGGUUUGGAGCCGUAUGAUAAAGAUUCCUUUGGAAUAAAAUUAACAAUAACUAAAUAACCCGCAGAGAAAAUAAAACAUGAGCGUCUGGUUUACCGGCUAAAACUGAUAUCAGACAUAUUUUAGCUGCCCUGCUAAACUCACUAUGGAUUACUAUGAACAAUGAAAUGUUUAUGGUCAAGAAUUAAGGAUGGGGCUGUAAUCGAUCUUCAGAACAAUAAUAUCGUAGCAAUACAAUUAGAUUAGAUUAGAUUAGAUUCAACUUUAUUGUCAUUGUGCAGAGUACAAGUACAAAGACAACAAUACUUGCUUUAGUAAUGAAUGAAGUCACCCUUCCUCUAUGUUUGUUGUGAUCUGAGUGCCUCUCAUCUUUAUGCGCGUGCACUUGAGUUCCUUGUGCGUCGGUAUCAGACGCCGAGGGCAAUGACAAAGUGUUGGGGAACGGUCUGUGAGAGCCGUGUCCAGACAAUCCCAGCCUACUUUUUCUUCAGUAUUUUGAGUUUAGCCCAUUUAACCAAAGGCCCCGUCCUGAACCUUAACUCACCCUGACCUAAUGAACUUCUAAAUCCAUGAACUAAACCAUUGUACAAGUGAAACUAACACAAUGUUGUCUCAUUUGGUCCUUAUAAGGAUAGACACAUGUAACGUGACACACAAACAUGACUGUUGUCCUCACCAUCGCUGUCUGUGGUGAUGCCACUGACCCCUUCUCUGAGCAGCUGAGUCCACUUGUCUUCAUGCUUCUCUUCCUCAGCGUUUCCCAUCUUCCCCCACACAGGGCCCUGCUCUGUGUCCCAGACCAGGCCCCACCUCCCUGCUGCUGCCUCCGCCUCCUCCUCCUCCUCCUCGUCAGCUCCAGCUAGGUCGCCCCCCAUCCUGAGGGCGGACAGGGGCUGAGGGUAGCCCUCCUGCAGGGACAGAUCCCUGAACAGCCAGAAGUGGGAACCUGCAGCAGGACACAACCUGGAGAGUCUCUUAUGAAUGGACUCAGUUACUGGCUCAUUCAUUUAUUCAUGCUUUUAUUGAGUACGUCUCUGAGGAAGAGGAAACCUGUUCGGGAUAUGAUGUAAAAAAGGAAGUAACAUUGCUACUGUAUUAACAAAAUUGGAGUAUACCACUGAUAAAGAUGAUGGCAUGAUCGGACUGUCUCUCAAGCACAGCGUGAAGCCGAGGCAGGUCAGCAGGUAGACCCCUCCACAGCCUUCUGACUGAAGCCCCGCGACCCGACACCAAGCCCCCACCAUUGACUCGCCACAUCCUCAGACCUGGAGGGACGACAAGUAAAAGAUGACAGAAUGGAUGAGAAGCGAAGGAAUGGAGAUGCAAGGGUGACGUGAUCCAGCUAACCCGAGCCACACAGCUUUCACCUUCACAAACUACUUCAAUCAAUGUCUUUUUUUCUAAUUUGACAUGCCUAACGAGUGAGUUUGUGGUGUAUUCAGACCUUUGAAGAAGAAAGUCUCCCCACGGAUUCUUGCCACAGCAUCAAAACUGAUGUUACAGCGAUCUAUGAAGGGGCUGAAUGGAGAAAACACACAGCGAAACUUGCGUAAAGAGAAUCAUUCGAUAGGAUACAAUCAAAGACAAACUUUAACACCUUAAGUCAAUGCUUAAAAACAAUACUAUCUCAUGCGGUGAUCAUUUCCUUGUUUCAAAUUUUUUUCAUGACAAAGACGAGAU